AUUGAACGCUGGCGGCAGGCUUAACACAUGCAAGUCGAGCGGGGUGAUGGUGCUUGCACUAUCACUUAGCGGCGGACGGGUGAGUAAUGCUUAGGAAUCUGCCUAUUAGUGGGGGACAACAUCUCGAAAGGGAUGCUAAUACCGCAUACGUCCUACGGGAGAAAGCAGGGGAUCACUUGUGACCUUGCGCUAAUAGAUGAGGCUAAGUCGGAUUAGCUAGUUGGUGGGGUAAAGGCCGACCAAGGCGACGAUCUGUAGCGGGUCUGAGAGGAUGAGCCGGCACACUGGGAGUGGGACAAGGCCCAGACUCCUACGGGAGGCAGCAGUGGGGAAUAUUGGACAAUGGGGGGAACCCUGAGCCAGCCAUGCCGCGUGUGUGAAGAAGGCCUUAUGGUUGUAAAGCACUUUAAGCGAGGAGGAGGCUCUUUUGGUUAAUACCCAAGAUGAGUGGACGUUACUCGCAGAAUAAGCACCGGCUAACUCUGUGCCAGCCGCCGCCGUAA
rnacentral:rRNA from 1 species